rnacentral:rRNA from 1 species
AACGAACGCUGGCGGCAUGCCUAACACAUGCAAGUCGAACGAGACCUUCGGGUCUAGUGGCGCACGGGUGCGUAACGCGUGGGAAUCUGCCCUUGGGUUCGGAAUAACAGUUAGAAAUGACUGCUAAUACCGGAUGAUGACUUCGGUCCAAAGAUUUAUCGCCCAGGGAUGAGCCCGCGUAGGAUUAGCUUGUUGGUGAGGUAAAAGCUCACCAAGGCGGCGAUCCUUAGCUGGUCUGAGAGGAUGAUCAGCCACACUGGGACUGAGACACGGCCCAGACUCCUACGGGAGGCAGCAGUGGGGAAUAUUGGACAAUGGGCGAAAGCCUGAUCCAGCAAUGCCGCGUGAGUGAUGAAGGCCUUAGGGUUGUAAAGCUCUUUUACCCGGGAUGAUAAUGACAGUACCGGGAGAAUAAGCCCCGGCUAACUCCGUGCCAGCAGCCGCUGUAA